rnacentral:miRNA from 1 species
CAUUCAACUUGGAUGGUUAUGCCGUUGACUGUCUUCGGCAUAACCAUUCAACUUGGAUGGUUAAGCCGUUGACUGUCUUCGGCAUAACCAUUCAA